ensembl:miRNA
AGGUGUGGGAUGUGGUGCACUGUUGUACGAUGCUCUCCCAAUAUUGCACUCGUCCCGGCCUCC